rnacentral:rRNA from 1 species
AUGCUUGAAACAGUGAGUGAAACAAUUGGCCUAAAAGUACAAGGCUACACCUGUCGGUACGUUCAUGAAGGUAUGAUACAAGUGUCUGUACUGAUUGCUCUGCCAUGCCGGAAAGAUAGCUUCAGAGAAUCCUCCAUUACAUAUGAAGGAGAAGCAGCUAAUACAGAAGAUGAAGCAAUGGAAAAGGCAGCUCAGGUGGCCUUCGAAUGCAUCUGUGCAGACUAUAAUAUUUCCACCAAUGAUCAUAAUUACUAUGCUCUUGAAGUCACAAAGGAAAGGUUAUUUACAGCAAGAGAGAAGGCUCAAACAAAGCAAUGGCAGUUCAAUAUGGCCCGCCAGCAAGUAAGCACAUAG